GAUAGCGUGGCGCAGUCGGCAGCGCGUUUGGCUCAGAGCCAAGAGGUCCUGAGUUCGAAUCCUGCCGUGUCA
rnacentral:tRNA from 1 species